rnacentral:rRNA from 1 species
GACGAACGCUGGCGGCGGGCUUAACACAUGCAAGUCGAACGGAAGGGCCCUGCUUUUGUGGGGUGCUCGAGUGGCGAACGGGUGAGUAACACGUGAGUAACCUGCCCUUGACUUUGGGAUAACUUCAGGAAACUGGGGCUAAUACCGGAUAGGAGCUCCUGCUGCAUGGUGGGGGUGGGAAAGUUUCGGCGGUUGGGGAUGGACUCGCGGCUUAUCAGCUUGUUGGUGGGGUAGUGGCUUACCAAGGCUUUGACGGGUAGGCGGCCUGGGAGGGUGACCGGCCACAUUGGGACUGAGAUACGGCCCAGACUCCUACGGGAGGCAGCAGUGGGGAAUAUUGCACAAUGGGCGGAAGCCUGAUGCAGCAGCGCCGCGUGCGGGAUGACGGCCUUCGGGUUGUAAACCGCUUUCGCCUGUGACGAAGCGUGAGUGACGGUAAUGGGUAAAGAAGCACCGGCUAACUACGUG